ACGUUAUAGCUGCGUAGUCGCUUGACUACACAGGAUUUUCGUACCUAGUUGACCCCAGCCGCCACGGCGCAGCGUCUUCAGAUCUUUGGCCUGGACUCUGCACGUGAGGCGUCAGGCACGGCCACCUCCGGCCAUCCGGCGAGCUGUUAGUGACGCACCCGCGGUUGCACACGCAUAGUGUGCCAGAAUCAAUUGAUCAGUACUGCUGUACUAGUCACCACACUCUAUCCUAUCCAACAUCAGGACGAGGCCCUCCACUUCUAUUUGUAAGUUUUAUUUAUCUGCCAACGCUGCAAUACUCUUCUCUCUCUUCCAUUUUUCUUUUCUCUCACUAGCAAUAUUAGGUUUCAGGAAAGUUCAAAAUAAUAAUAAUAAUAUUAGGUUUCAGGAAGCAAGAGAUUGUUUUAUUAAGAAUAAGAAUGACAUAUUCCGUUUUUCUUAGCAAUAUA